rnacentral:rRNA from 1 species
AGAGUUUGAUCCUGGCUCAGGACGAACGUUGGCGGCGUGCUUAAUACAUGCAAGUCGACUGAAGCUCGGGUAGCAAUAUCUGAGUGGAGGUGGCGCACGGGUGAGUAACACGUAGGUAAUCUGCCCAAAGGUCUGACAUAACUCCGGGAAACCGAAGCUAAUAUCAGAUGAUGCAGCGGCUCGACAUCGAGACAGUUGUUAAAGAUUUAUCGCCUUUGGAUGAGCCUGCGUCUGAUUAGCUAGUUGGCGGGGUAAAAGCCCACCAAGGCAACGAUCAGUAGCUGGUCUGAGAGGAUGAUCAGCCACACUGGAACUGAGAUACGGUCCAGACUCCUACGGGAGGCAGCAGUAAGGAAUAUUGCUCAAUGGCCGAAAGGCUGAAGCAGCAACGCUGCGUGAGGGAUGAAGGGCUUUUGCUUGUAAACCUCUGUAACAGGGGAAAAAACCCCCCGAACUUCGGGGGUAUGAUGGUACCUGAGAGAAGCUCCC